CCUACGGGUGGCAGCAGUGGGGAAUAUUGGACAAUGGGGGCAACCCUGAUCCAGCCAUGCCGCGUGUGUGAAGAAGGCCCUCGGGUUGUAAAGCACUUUCAGUGAGGAAGAACGCCUGGUGGUUAAUACCCAUCAGGAAAGACAUCACUCACAGAAGAAGCACCGGCUAACUCCGUGCCAGCAGCCGCGGUAAUACGGAGGGUGCGAGCGUUAAUCGGAAUUACUGGGCGUAAAGCGCGCGUAGGUGGCUUGAUAAGCCGGUUGUGAAAGCCCCGGGCUCAACCUGGGAACGGCAUCCGGAACUGUCAAGCUAGAGUGCAGGAGAGGAAGGUAGAAUUCCCGGUGUAGCGGUGAAAUGCGUAGAGAUCGGGAGGAAUAACAGUGGCGAAGGCGGCCCUCUGGACUGACACUGACACUGAGGUGCGAAAGCGUGGGUAGCAAACAGGAUUAGAUACCCUUGUAGUC
rnacentral:rRNA from 1 species